rnacentral:rRNA from 1 species
CGCGUAGGCGGGAUAACAAGUCAGGUGUGAAAUCCGGGGGCUCAACCCUCGAACUGCACUUGAAACUGUUAUUCUUGAGUGAUGGAGAGGCAAGUGGAAUUCCUAGUGUAGCGGUGAAAUGCGUAGAUAUUAGGAGGAACACCAGUGGCGAAGGCGACUUGCUGGACAUUAACUGACGCUGAGGCGCGAAAGCGUGGGGAGCAAACAG